AGGCGCCUGAUCAGUAGUAGUAGGCGUUCUAAGUGUGUUUACAGUGAUAUAGGUGGUCUCACCCCUCCUGUCCUUGUUUUACUAGAAGUGAGGUUCUUCUCGUACUGAUUGAGUAACAGGGAAGGUUUCUGGUUGUUUGCAUAUUCAAACAGCAUUUCCGUUCCAGGUUGUCUUGAAAGCACCAUAAAUCCAGAGAAUGUCAGGCUUUGAUGACAAAUGUUUGAUGACAACAUUUGCCCACGAAGAACCGCAGAGCCACCUUCCUGUUCAAGUGAGCACAGCACAAAAAGACAAGGCUCCGCUGAUAGCCAGGUGUAGCAGUGGUAAGGUGUUGGGACUGCUGUUGGGACUCUGCUGUUGGGACUCUGCUGUUAGGACUCUGCUGUUGGGACUCUGCUGUUGGGACUCUGAUGUUGGGACUCUGCUGUUGGAACUCUGCUGUUGGGACUCUGCUGUUGAACUCUGAUGUUGGGACUCUGCUGUUGGGACUCUGAUGUUGGGACUCUGCUGUUGGGACUCUGCUGUUGGGACUCUGAUGUUGGGACUCUGCUGUUGGGACUCUGAUGUUGGGACUCUGCUGUUGGGACUCUGCUGUUGGGACUCUGCUGUUGGGACAGCUUUAUGUAGGCCCUAACAGUAUGUGGGAACUGUUUGUCACAGUUAUAGUGCAAUUAAUGUAUUGUUUAGUGUUGUGUUGUGUUGUGUUGUUUAGUGUUGUGUUGUUUAGUGUUGUGUUGUGUUGUGUUGUUUAGUGUUGUGUUGUUUAGUGUUUGUUUGUGUUGUGUUGUGUUGUUUAGUGUUGUGUAGUGUUGUGUAGUGUU
ensembl:lncRNA